rnacentral:sRNA from 18 species
ACUAGUUUCAUAGUUCUUUAGGGUUAUUUUUUAAAACUCCUUGGAUAGCCUCCGCCAGCUCCCGGCAGGAGGCGUUUUUU